AAGGCGUGGCCGCCAGGGGAGCGCGCAGCGCCGCUUCGCGGGCGAGCAAACUGGGGCGGGAAGGGCGGUAGGCCUCAGCGCGUCCCACCUUCCGCAGGGCCGGGCGGCUCCCUGCGGUGACCGCCGCGAGGGCAGCGGAGACUGAGCCCAGGUCUCAAAGUUCUUGGUGGAACAGCAGGCAGCACAGCCAUCAGUGCAGUCUCCGGUGUCCCAGCUGGCGCAGCCCCUGCAUGUUCGCGUGAACCAGUCCCAUUGCCUCCCCAAAGGGGCUGCCGAUCAUUGAGUCACACCGAUUCAGGGCCCGAGGCUCACAGACUCAACCCAGACUCAACAGUGUUUCCUGGAGGCAAAGAAAGCGAAUCGUAGCAUCGGAUGGUUCUGCCUGUCCCCCGAGGGGACCGGCGCCCACGUGGCUCAGCAGACCAGGUGGGGGAGGACCUUUCAGUGCCAGGCUCAGGCGGCCCCUUGGCCCAACCAGAUCCUCUGCAAGAGCUGAGACCCUGCCCCUUUGUAUAACACUGUCAUCACACCUGAAAAGCCACCCGGUUAUGACCAGAGGGCAGGGCCACCUCGUCAGCUUAAGGAGGCUGGUCAGGAAGCGGAGAUGAGAGUAUUAAUGGGGAAGUCAACAGUGCCCCGUGCCUUUCAAAUCAGCUGCUUUGGUUGAGAGGCAAAUGUCCCCACAGCGCAUGAGUGGGAGAAUCUGGCAUCUUUACAUUUAAACUCAAAUCCUGCGACGGGCCUGACCUUUCUGCGUGGAAGGAUCGGGGAACUGAGGCUAAUCCAGUCCAUGAAGGACCAUCGGAUGCAGCAAACGCCACGCCAUGAUGUGAACAGCGUCUUCCCUUGUUGUUCUUAUUUAUAUUUUAUUAGGACUUUAUUGAAUGUUUUCUUGUAGGUCACCUGGAACCCUCUGGGGAAUAAAGCAAAGCAAAAAUAAAUAAAUGCUUUGAAUUAAGGCGUAGGAGGGACAGCGUUCCAGAGAAGUGAACACUCAGAUAAUCAGAGAGGGGCUUUGUACAGAGACACCAAUCCCAGCGACAGGCAACAGGGGCAGCUCCCAUCUCCAAGUGGCGAAACUUGCUUAAUGCCUAGCAGACACUUUCCACAUUACAUCUAUCACCUGGUACACUUACCCCAGCAUCCGGCAGCCUGGGCUUACGGGGACCCUCCCUGCCUCAGCUCCCGAGCCGGCCCUGUGCCUGGGGGAAGGCAGUGCCGGCAGAGGAGUGGUUCUGAGUGUGGGGCAGUGGGACCAGGGCACCUGUACACCAGCCCUGUUUCUGUUUCUUCGGCCAAGUGUCCCUGAGCACACCUGUAAGUGGGUCAAUCCAGCACCUGCCUCAACAGGAGAAUUUUGAGCUCGUGGAUGGAGACAGAAUGAGUUUUCAGCAAAUAGCAGCUAAGACUGAAGCCCUGGUCCCCCGGGGGGAUCAGCCUCCCCAGUAGGUAACCCAGGACAUCCAGGGCCAUUGGACUGUGGGGUCUCAGAGCCUCAGGAAGACUCCUGGGGAUGGAAAAGCCUGGGGUGUCUCCAAAAGUGAAAAGGAAGAAAGACAGUGCUCCAGAAAGAUAGAACCACACACACACAAAGUCUUGGAGACUGGCCCGCAGAGGGCGGGGAAGCCAGCCUGGCGGGGCGGGCAGCUGAGGAAGGGGAAGGAGCCGGCUCUCCUGCGUGGACACUGAAAACCAAGCAAACAACAAGAUUAAUUCGCACAGGCAGACGGCUCAAAACACUGUGUGUGUGACCUGAAUGCUAUGUAAAUACUGGAAGCAGAUGAAGCAGAGAAGAAUUCUUGGAUUGCUCCAAGGGACACAGGUCCUGGAAUUUCUGCCUCUUGCUUGUGCUUCCAGAACUGAAAUUAGGCCUCUGCCAGAGAAGGAGGCGGCACUCCUGGUUUGGGCAAAGGUAAAAGUACAAGCACCCAGCGUGCCCUCAAAAAUACCUGUGGAAGAAAGGAGGGAUAGAAGGGGUUGAAAGGCUCAUGAAUAUUUUUCAGGUGUUCCCCUCUUGCCUGCAAGUUGCAGAAGAAUUGACAUUUCAUCAGCUGGAGCACCAGCUCCCGGAGGACCCAGAGACCACUCACUGAUGUGCGCCUAUUGAACUUGGGGAGAAAAGAGGUCCUUCCAGGCCAGAACCUCCUGGGUUAACACUGCCAGGAUCUUCCUAUGAACAGGAACACUUGUAGUUCUGAAUUUCAUCUCGAAGGAAGGGGAA